rnacentral:lncRNA from 1 species
CCGACUGGGAGCGGAGCCCAGACUCUCGGGGCUCGUGGGGGACGAGGUCCUGCGCGGCCCUGACCGCUUCUCGGGCGCCGGAGGCACCGGCGUGCUGGAGCCGCGGCCUGGUCUGGUUCUGGGGCCUCGUCCCUGCUGUGCCCUCCUCCGCUCUCCUCUCCCACUGCCCCCCUCUCCACACCCCCGCCCCCUCCUUUUUGUUUCCUCUGCGGCUUCUUUUUUUUUUUUGGGGGGGGUCUCCUUAGCCUUUUUCUUCCUUAUUUCCUCUUCUUUUCACCUUUCCUUACUUGCAAGGGUAUUUCCUACUCACUCUCCCUCCUCGCCGUAUACCGUGUAUACCACUUCGUGCACAGUCACACUCUGGAGGAGGGCAUCCUCAGGGCCGGGGUUAUUUUUCUCGCGGCAGGGCUGCUUCAGGAGCGUGUGCGGGUCUCAGGAGCUCCUGACAAAGUCCUCUCUAAUUUCUCCCCAAGCAGGGGCUCGCAGAAGGUCUGCGCCUGCAUAAGCGUGGGGGCGCAUUUGGAGCCUCCAGGAGAAAAGGCAGACCAGGACAGAGAUGGGUGGACGCUUGCAAGCGCUCUAUUCUAGACGUAGUGAUUUUGAUCCCGGACUAUUCACAGCUGCAAUGUCGCUGACCUUGCUGACGGCUUUGCAAAUAUGCGCAGGAGACCCAACGGCCAUCUGCGCUCUGGCAUGAAGUAUGGGAAGGGGCGCCGAGUAUUUCAUAAGUAAAUCACAGCCUCACACCGGCGUCCCGCGGGGGUGGAUGGGGCCUGGCUUCGGUACUGGCGCAAAAUCGUGGACUCCUUCCCAGGGGCCUCGGGCUUCGCGCUUUGGGGAGUCAUGGAACCAAGCGACCCGCCCUCUUCUGCACGCUUUCUCCAAAUCUGACAGGCCCCAACCGGCCCUGCCAGUCCUCGGAAUCGACAGGAUUUCUCUGACUGCUGUUUGCGCUGCAUUUAUGAGAAUAAAUCCGGCUCGCAGGCAUCUAGCAGGAACCGCUACUGGCUUGCGUGUAGGCGGACGCCUCGGCCCAGCGCGGGACGGGAGGUGGCUCCUUUUGCCCGGGCAACGGCAGGUCGGGCCUCCGAGGGACGCUGGACAAGCGGCGCCCGCAGGCUGGGCAGCCCCCACCUCUGCUGGUGCGGAGUCCGCCCGCAGCGAAAACUGAAAGCAAAUUCCGAUGCAGACGUAGUCCAAACUUUCCUCGACGCGAGUCUGUAGCCGAGAUCCCGAGGCGAGUUUGGAAGGCCAGCGCGCUAGGGGGUGCGCGCGCGGGGUGGAGCCGGGGGCCAAGAAGGAGUCGGGCGGCCGAAGCUGGCCAGGGGCGAAGAGCUAGGAAAGGCACCCCUCCCUCCUCAUUUCCGCCCCUGUCGGUAAAAAAUAGUUUCCAAGCUGCCGCGGCCUCCCUGGAUGUGCUUGCGGGGAUCGCGCUGAGGAGAGGGGGCUUUGUAAAAGUUGCAGAAAGAGCUUUGUUCAGAAGCGUCCACCAGCAGGGCUAAAGAAAGCUUGGGACUCGCACGCCUUCCCAGGGGAAGAAUGGCCCGGAAUCGGCGCCUGGGAGACAACCCCCCUCCCCCUUUCUGUUCCUCUCCGCACACCUGGAGCCCACGCGGACAGAACCUCCUGCUCCCUGCUUUGCAAACUUCCCCGCGCCGCCGUCCGCGGGCGAGGCCCGGACACUGCGCGCGCUCGGCCCCAGCCCUGAGAAAGGCUCGCACAGAAGCGGCGGCGGUGGCGGUGGCAGAGUGUGGCCCCUCUCUCCACUUAGACGGCCAGCCCCUCAUCGCCGAUCCCCCGGCUCCCCUGAGCGGGCGCUUCCCCCUGAAAGCGGCGGUCUGAGGGGGCCGGCUAGGGCGCAAAGUGCGCGCGCGGGCUCGCCCGCCUGUCUCUCCGCGGGGCCUGUCGCCGGGCCGGCCGUGGCGGGUGAGUGAUGAGGGCAGAGAAGGGCGCCCAUAAAUCGCGGGUGUCAGGGCGAAAAACUCUCUUUAUUGUCUGCGUGAUGGAUGGGCCUGGGGACGAGACACCAAAUACUUCGUAUCGCCUUUAAAUGGGAACACAUUUUCCGCGGCCAUAAUUCAUGUUUUUUAAAUAGAAAGUUUGAAAUGUUGCCUAUAUUUCACCGGCCCUGACAUAUUUAUGAAUCACUCCCUGCAUGCAAAUAUCAUUAUUUAAAGCGCCAGGGAGAGUGCGGGGGAGGGGAGGAGGUGCGGUCCCCGGGGGAUGGGGGUGGUGAGCGGGGGCAAUGGGGGCGGAGGGGGGCCAUCUUCUUAAAGUGCGGACAAUGAGGCGCGGGGGGUAAGUCAUCUCCGGGAGCCAAGGGCGCCCUGGGCUCCCCUCCCCGCCGCCAGAUCCCGCACAGCCGGCUCGGGAAGUUUGCGCGGCUCGGGGCGGAGGACAGACCCCGCCCCCUGCCGGGAAACCGGGGAGCCUUUGGAGCCCCUCUCAGAGGUCCAGAUGCGAGCCGAAGCCAUCUUUUUCCAAGAAGGAAGUAAAAUAGCCAUAAGAACACGCAAAGAAUAACAACCCAACAUGUUUCUUGCUCUUUGCCAUUCCGUCGAUUUUAUUGAUUUUCAUUCUGCAAACCUGGGAUUGUGAGCACCCGGGCGGGGCGGCUGUCAGACCCAGUCACCGCGGGGAGAGGGUGCAGGACGACCCCCGGGGGCCGCAACGCGGACCCGCCUCCACCCCACCAACUCAGAGCCUGCGGGCGCGGCCGAGCCCGCGCAGGACGCGGGGACGCAAACAGCGCGCUCCCGAGCGCCGGGGCUUCGGAUUCGCCGUCUUCCUGCCCAGCGCUCCCGGGGUCCCCGUCCGCCUGCCCCCUAGACCCUACUAGCGUUACAGCCGCUUUGGGGAAAGCCGGGCCCGUGCCCGGGGCCUGUCCCCGACCCGCGCGUCCCGGGAGGCGGCCACACCUGCGCCGGCGCUGGCGGAGACUUUACCUGAGCGUCCCAGCGGCGCCCGCGGCCGCGGACAGGAGGAAAGGGAGGGAGGGCGGGGAGGCGGGAGGGGCAGAGGGCGGGGCCCGCUACGGCCAGACGCACGGACCCCGGGCUUGCUCUCGGGACCCAGCGCCGGGGCCUCGGCCCAGCCCGCUCCGGGAGCGGACUCGCG